rnacentral:rRNA from 1 species
AUUCGCGGCCUAUCAGCUUGUUGGUGAGGUAAUGGCUCACCAAGGCGACGACGGGUAGCCGGCCUGAGAGGGUGACCGGCCACACUGGGACUGAGACACGGCCCAGACUCCUACGGGAGGCAGCAGUGGGGAAUAUUGCACAAUGGGCGAAUGCCUGAUGCAGCAACGCCGCGUGAGGGACGACGGCCUUCGGGUUGUAAACCUCUUUUAGUAGGGAAGAAGCGAAAGUGACGGUACCUGCAGAAAAAGCACCGGCUAACUACGUGCCAGCAGCCGCGGUAAUACGUAGGGUGCAAGCGUUGUCCGGAAUUAUUGGGCGUAAAGAGCUCGUAGGCGGUUUGUCGCGCCUGCUGUGAAAACCCGAGGCUCAACCUCGGGCCUGCAGUGGGUACGGGCAGACUAGAGUGCGGUAGGGGAGAUUGGAAUUCCUGGUGUAGCGGUGGAAUGCGCAGAUAUCAGGAGGAACACCAAUGGCGAAGGCAGAUCUCUGGGCCGUAACUGACGCUGAGGAGCGAAAGCAUGGGGAGCGAACAGGAUUAGAUACCCUGGUAGUCCAUGCCGUAAACGUUGGGGACUAGAUGUGGGGACCAUUCCACGGUCUCCGUGUCGCAGCUAACGCAUUAAGUUCCCCGCCUGGGGAGUACGGAAUCGUCGACCCGCAGGACAAACG